CUAACCAAGAGCAUGUCUGAUUUUAGAGCUGUAUGUUUGUACUGGAAGAAAGCUUCUCUUACUCUUUGCAUUACUGAUCUCUGUUUUUCUCUUGGGGCUGGAACACAAAAUUCGUGACAUGUGCUGAGAAUCUGAGAUUCCCAUAUAUAACCCUGUCAUGGAAUUCUGUGAAGGAGUAAUUUCUGGUUCUGGGUGUCCACAGACCUGAACUGCAUGAAAAGUUCACAACAGAGAGUUGCCAGCCUGGUUUGCUUGGAUGCCACUGGCCAUGAGAGCUCCUGCAGAAGCACAUCUAUGUUCAUCCUGGCCUCAUUUAUUCUCUAAGCAGACACUGUGAUGUACCCUAAGGUUUUCAUUCAUUCACAGUAUGAGGCUGCAUGGCAUCUGUGCACUUCCUCACACCCUGAAUCAGUUCAAUUCUGUUUCUUUGCUUGCCUACCAUCAACCUGUGUCUUGUCAAAGGCUUUUGACUGCCUUUGUGGCCCGUGAAGCCAACACUUCACACAGGCAAUUCAGAGCCAUCUCCUGCCAAUGUUUCUCAGGCCUCUUCGGUUUUGUCUGCUGAUGAAGAUGUUUCCUGAGAGAAAUCUUAGACCCUAAAAGGUUAUCCUGCAUGCCAAGAGAAGGCUGUACUGCUACUGCCAAGCUUCUGACAUCUUUCACAAUUUUAAUGAGAAGUUUAAAGCCCUACUGGUAUCCUUUGGAGGGAAAACUGUUCAUGAAAUAUGAGCUACCAGCUGAAAAUAAUAGUAUAUUUUGAACCUGGGAGUCAAGUUAAAUUAACAUCACAACUAAAAGACAAAUAUGAUAAUCUUUCCUGUUGCUCAUUUUUUCCAGUUGAGGCAUUUGUUGCUUAAUUGUGACUGACUUUACGCAUAAAUAGCUUUGCAGGGUUAAUACAUUGCUUUCUAGCAAGUAUCUGGACACUUUCCCCCUUAAGACCAGUCUGUGUUCUCCUGGUGCCCGUUUCCUCUCUCCCUCCUUCCCCCACUCCAAAUGCCCUAGGUUGUGUUCAGAUGGGAAGGGCAUCAGUGUAUCCACAGGAACAAUCAAGCACAGAGCUCUCAGAUUUAAAGCCCUGCAGUGGAGAUGCAUGGAUGGUAAAGACGAAGUUUCCAGUUUGGCAUUUCAUCCUGGAUUCAGGAUACGCAGCUUUGCCUGGUUACACCUUUAUUGAAACUUUUAACAGCAGUGAUGGAGCAGCACUAAUUUUAAAAGACAGACAGCAUUUGCUGCAGGGCACGGCUGAGCCCCUCGGCCCCGGGGAAAGCCCGGGCAAGGGAGGGCAAAACGCUGCCCGGCAGCCAGGGCUGAGCCAGGGGAAGCGAGCGAGAAACAGCCCUGCGAGCCCCGAGGGGACAGCGGGAGCAGGGACGGGGCAGGAGAGGCCCGGCAGGGAUGGCCCUGCGGCCUGCGAGAAAUUUAUUCUCCCCACCAUGUGUUUCUGUCUUUAUUUGGUGAACUAGAAGAAAUAAUUAACUUUUUUUUUCAGGUCUGUAUAAGGCUAGGAUCUCCUUAGAUGUGAACUCUGCAGGAGUAGUUUCUUUCUUCUAUGGCAAUUUUAUCUAAAAAAUGGAAUAUUCAGCCUAAAUAUGACCACUCAGUAGUGAGCUAUGCUGCCUGAACAGCUAUGGACAGGAAUUCCCAGUCUCACCCUGUGGCCUACAUUCCUGUGCAGAAAUGCAUAGGAAUGUCCCUGAUUUUGGUUCCAUGAUGGCUGAUCAGGCCAACCACACCAUUUCUCACUGUUGUUUUAAAUGAUGGCUGUUUACAUUUAUAUGAUGCCGUUUGAUUCUUUGCCUUUCCUGAGAUGUUAGCUGAAAACUGAAAACAAUGGUAACAAAUAACCAGUGGAGGACAAAGGGCUUUUUGUUUAAAAAUAGAGAAUGUGAAUGCUAAUUUUGG